CGCUGUCUUGCGGAAGAGACCGGCUAAUCCCGGCGCCGAAGGAGCAACCGCCCCGGAAACUCUCAGGCAACAAGGACCGCAAGGCAUAC
rfam:Methyloceanibacter caenitepidi DNA, complete genome, strain: Gela4.